rnacentral:rRNA from 1 species
UGCCAGCCGCCGCGGUAACACGAACCGUACAAACGUUAUUCGGAAUCACUGGGCUUAAAGGGUGCGUAGGCGGCGUGGUAAGUUGGGUGUGAAAUCCCUCGGCUCAACCGAGGAACUGCGCUCCAAACCCCGUAGCUUGAGGGAGACAGAGGUAAGCGGAACUGAUGGUGGAGCGGUGAAAUGCGUUGAUAUCAUCAGGAACACCAGUGGCGAAGGCGGCUUACUGGGUCUCUUCUGACGCUGAGGAACGAAAGCUAGGGGAGCGACCGGGAUUAGAUA